AUCUAUCUCUUCCUCAUGAGGGUUAGUAUAACUUUACUUACCUUUCUCUGGCACCCUUGCCCAUAAUAUUAAGAUUCCUAAAUUUUAUUUCUUGGCAUAAACAAAUAAAGAGAAGGAAGUGGGUAGACCCCACAAACUGCACUGCUUGUAACUGUGUGCUUGGCCAUCCUUAUGAGUGAAACCCUUGUUAGUUAUAUUCAUCUUAUUUAUACACUGCUUUGCUUCUCCUUCCGUUUUUUUCUCAGAACACAGACACUCACCACCCAAAAGCCAAAAUCCAGAAGCCAAAAGCCAAAAGCCAAAAGCCAAAAGCCAAAAGCCAAAAGCUAAUAGAGAAGAGAAACAAUGAAGCAGAUGAAGAAUUACCAAAACUUUCUCAUAUUUUCUGUCUUUAUUUUUCUUCUUCUCUCCAACCCAUCAUCUGCUCGUGCUCGUCUUCAGCAGCAAAACAAAGCUUCCCUAACUGGAAGCAAUGAUCUUGUAAAUCUGAUGGGAUCAGAAGAAUGCGAUGAGAAAGAUGAAGAGUGUCUGCGGAGAAGGAUGAUUGCUGAAGCUCACUUGGAUUAUAUUUACACCCAAAACCAUAAGCCAUAGACUUUGGAUUUUCGUAUAUAAGUUGUAUAAGAAAUAAUAAAUAAUUGUUUGUUUUUCUUUUUUUGGUGCAAGAGCAUAUCAUAUCAUGUAAGAAAAUAUAAUAUCAGGUAUCAACGUUUCCAAUUACUGAUUCCUCCUCCA